rnacentral:rRNA from 1 species
UAUGACUCUCGACAAUGGAUAUCUUGGCUCUUGCAUCGAUGAAGAGCGCAGCGAAAUGCGAUACCGUGGUGUGAAUUGCAGAAUCCCGUGAACCAUCGAGUUUUUGAACGCAAGUUGCGCCCGAGGCCAAUUGGCUAAGGGCACGUCCGCCUGGGCGUCAAGCAUU